GGACUGGUAGCUCAGUGGUAGAGCGAGAGAUUGCAGCUCGCUCGCAAGAUAUCUCUAGGUCGCGAUUUCGAUUAUCGCCCGGUCCU
rnacentral:tRNA from 1 species